UCCCUGGCGCUCGCCUCCCUCCCACCCGGUGCGCGGCGCUCUGGGGCCGGGCGCGGAGGCCGCCGCGGCUCUCCCAGCCGAGCCCGCGCGCCCCUUCUCCCCCGGGCGGGGGUGGGGGCGAGGUGGGGGGGGAGGCGCGGCCCCAGACCCUGCCGGCUCCUUUUGCUGUCCUCCAGCUGUCCCCUCGGCCCCUGGCCGCUUCCCCAUCGGGCAGCGAAACGUACACAAAGAACACGGGAUUCGGGUUAUUUACGAAAUCGUGGUUUUUAAACUGCCGGCUGUGUGACCCGGAGCAAACUGCUCGGCCUCUCGGUGUCAGGGUCCUCGCCCGUAAAGAGACUGGGAAAGAUAAGGGCGAUAAGGCUUUUCGAACACGGGGCCCUGCGCCUGGCACGGCGCGGGCGCGCGGCUCCGUGCGCCCCCCAACCCGCCCGGCGUGCAGCCCGGCCCCGCUCCCGCCCCCCGCCUCGGCCCGACCUGCAGCCGAGAGUCGGGGAAGGCGGGGCGCCCCGGAGCCGCCGACGGCCUCGCGCUCCGAUUUCCUCACCGUACGAAAUGAAAUUCCACAGGGGGAUUCGAGAGGAAAUGAGACCGGGACGCUCCGUGCUUCUCGGCCCGCCGCCCUUCCUGUCUCGGGGACACGGUUUCUAAAUAAGAGUCCUGCCAUCUCUGCCUCGGCCUGCUUGAUGCGACUGUCUCCUUUGAGAGCCCUUGAAAAAGCCGCUUGCCCGUCAGAAGCUUUUCCUGUCAACAGCUUUUCUUUCCCAGCAUGGAACUCAUCGCAGAAAACGCUUCCCCAAGGGAGUUCCAGGCAGAAGGCUAUCCACCCUGUGACAUGUACUGUUCAAGAGAGGUGCUUGCUCAGUCUCUCAGUCACUCUGUCGUAGCCAACUCUUUAUGACCUCAUGGACGAUGGCCCACCAGGCUCCACUGUUCGUGGGAUUUUUCAAGCAAGAAAAUUGGAGUGGGUUGCCAUUUCCUCCUCCAGGGUCUCUUACUGGACCAGGGAUUGAACCUGCGUCUUCUCCAUUGGUAGGCGGAUUCUGUACCACUGAGCCACCUGGGAGAUGGAAGAGUGGAGUCAAAGAUAGUGUCUUGAGAAUAGACCUGUUAACCUAAAGGAUGGGCCACGGGUCCCUAGUGGCUCUGGCCCGAGUGCCUGGGCAGCUUCCUCCAUCCACUCCCUGCGUAACAAAGAUGCAGCUACUUUGGAGCAGCAACAAACAUGACUUCAGCAGGCUGUUGGGCAGUCGGAGGGCUCUCUAUUUGCAUCUAAUGAGAGGCUGGGUUCUAAUUAACUCCUGUGAUGUGUUAAUUUUUCAACCUGACAUUUUCUGCUCUAAUAGAUUCUUGUAAUGGUUCCUAAAUUAAAGGCUGCAUUUGCAGACUAACGUUUAGGUUAAAAUCCACCACCUAGGGGGUGGGGGAGGUGGCCCAUAAACAUCCUUUCCCUCCUAAGGGAAACCUCUCAUUUGCAGUUCUUUGCUAACCCAAUUAAGUGCUGAAGUAGUCACCCUAGAGCCUGCUUUUUAUUUCCUGCGAAACAAUCCAACUAAUCCAUAUUCAGUGGCUUCCAAGAAAAGUCUUAUUCCAACCACUCAUGAAGAAACCAGCUUCUUUGAAUCUGGACAGAACAUUUAAAACUCACAAAGAGCUGUCUUGAUAGAAAAUGUAAGAAAGUGGUUCAUUAUUAUCCUGUUUGGUUUUUGAGGGAGAAAUUCACUGUGACUAAAACCUCAUAAGGAUUGGGAAUUUACUGUGGGACCACAGAGCAGGGGGGCAAGCCUUGCCCCAUCCCUCCGUGUAUAGUCUGAAUGCUGCAUCUUCCCUUGCACCCAAGAACAUGCAGACUGAGUAAACCAGAAGGAAAGAUUCAUCUAGCUCAAA
ensembl:lncRNA